GGGUGGGUGCUGGUGGCCGAUUGUCCAUCCUGUCCCACGCGUGGGUGGCACCACCAGGAGCUGUUCCAGGAGCUCCUCACCAGGGUCUGCCCGGCCCUGGUGGACCUCCAGGAGCUCCCGUCUCCUUCUGGAUCUUCACGGGGUCCAUCUUGGUGUCCAUCAUCUCCUGGAUCUCCAUGGGGUCCAUCAUGGGGUCCAUCUUCUCCUUCUGGAUCUCCUGGGUCCAUCUUGAGGUCCAUCAUCUUCUCCUGGAUCUCCAUGGGGUCCACCAUGGACUCCUGGUCCUACAGGACCUGGCUUGGGGUCCACCAUCUUCUCCUGGUCCUCCUGGGGUCCAUCUUGGUGUCCACCAUGAUCUCCUGGGUCCAUCUUGAGUUCCACCAUCUCCUCCUGCUUCUCCUGGGUCCAUGUUGGUGUCCACCAUCAACUCCUGGAGCAAUUUUGGGGUCCACCACCUUCUCCUGGUCCUUCAGGACCCAUCUUGGGGUCCACCAUCAUCUCCUGGGUCCACCUAGGUGUCCACCAUCAUCUCCUGGUUCUCCUGGGUUCCUCCAUCUUCUCCUGGUCCUCCUGGCCCCAUCCUGGUCCUCGGCAUCUCCCUCAGCUUCUCCUGGACCUGUUUUGGUGGCCUUGACCUUCUCCAGCUCCUGCCCAACGCUCUGGGUGGCCGAGGUCUUCUCCUGAACCCCACCAGCUCCUCCAGGUCCUCAAAACCCACCUGGGACAGCUCAGCUGGACCCUCCUGGACCACCUUGGUGGCCACCAUCUUCUCCAGGUCCCACCUUGGUCAACCCAAAGUUCUCCAGGUCCCACCUUGGUGGCCCCAAAGUUCUCCAGGUGCCACCUUGGAGACCCCAAAGUUCUCCAGGUGCCACCUUGGUCACCCCAAAGUUCUCCAGGUCCCACCUUGGUCUCCCCAAAGUUCUCCAGGUCCCACCUUGGUCCCCCCAAAGUUCUCCAGGUGCCACCUUGGAGACCCCAAAGUUCUCCAGGUCCCACCUUGGUGGCCCCAAAGUUCUCCAGGUCCCACCUUGGAGACCCCAAAAUUUGGGGGGUCCCAAAUUAAGGUGGGGGUCCCCAAAAUUAGAGAAGGUCCCAAAAAUUUGGGGUCCCAAAAUUGGGGUGGAGGUCCCCAAAUUUUGGGGGGUCCCCAAAAUGGGAGAAUGUCCCAAAAAUGGAGAAGGUCCCCAAAAUUGGGGGGUCCCCAAAAUGGAGGAGGUGACCAAGGUGGGGAUGGUCCCCAAAAUUUGGGGGGUCCCAAAAUUUGGGUGGGGGUCCCCAAAAUUGGGUGGGGGUCCCCAAAUUUGGGUGGGGGUCCCCAAAUCGGGGUCCCCAAAUUUGGGGUUUUGGGGCCCCCCCCAGCUCCGCUCACUGCCAGGCCCCGUUAAUUGUUAAUGAAUGAAUUAAUGAAUGAAUAAAUUAAUUAAUGAAUGGACGCUUAAUGAAUGG
ensembl:lncRNA